ensembl:snRNA U6 U6 spliceosomal RNA
GUGCUCGCUUUGGUAGCACCUCUACUACAAGUGGAACGCUACAAGGAGUGAGCAUGGCCCCUGCACAAGGGACAAGCAGAUUCAUGAGGAUAUUGUUGUAACA